ensembl:lncRNA
CAGCAAGCCAAGUGGGCAGAUGGGGACUUCUGUCCUCUACAAGCAGAAACCAACCACUACUGUCCCUUGCUACUUCCUCUUCUUGCUGAUGCGUGGUUCACGCGUGGCAUCAUGCUCUGAUACCUCCCCAGAUACAGCUUUCUGCCUCUCCUGCUACCAGGGCACCGUACCUAUUCUGCAACUGUGGACCUGUAGGUGGAGAAGGAACUGCUGUCCAUGUGCCAGAAGUCAUGUUAGUCUCCAGAUGCCAGGACUUUUAGGACACACUGAUUUGCUCUUCAUUUUUUGGUGUGACAGCUGUGCAUGGUGAUCCAGAACGUGGCUUGUCUUUUACGUCACUGUAGUCACUGCUGAAAUGCACUACCCGCAGCCUCCCUGUUCAGCAAGUACUGAUGAAUGUCAGUGAGUGCAAGUUUUUCCUCAUGGAGAAAUUCACUGACACGCUUUUGCUUCAUCCACACUCCCAAAUCAGACACCACUGCGUCAGACUGCCCCGCUGCUGCCAUCUGUCACACAGCAACCACGUGUAACAGAAUACUGGCGGGAAGGCUCAACCUCUACUGCCAUACCACCCAUAUUCGCCUCUGACAUCAUGGGCCAACAUCAUAAAAUAGGAAGCGUUACUUUCAGAGCUUCCCUCAGAGAUAGAAUCUUCAAGAUGAUUAACAUAAGAAAGGAGGCAGAUAACAGCAUGUCAGAGAAGAGUGAGGGCUGGCUGCUCCCUGAAGUACAGAGAUCCUGGAGUCAAGAGCAGUAGUACUGCCAAGAAGCAACUUUUCUAGAUCAUUUAUGAAUAUAUUGAAGAGCACGCAUCCCAUGGUACGUUCCUGUGUUGUACAGAUGAUCUUCUUUUCUGAGCACUAACCACUUAGUCCCAUCUUUUCUCUUAAUGAGCAAUUUUUAUUUUUAUUUAUUUUUAAAUGAGAGCACUUUUGAUGAGACACCUUGUCUGGAGACUUUCUAAAGAAAAAAGUCUGCUCAUCUACUUGUUGAUUGCCCCAGAGAAAGCUCUUCGGUAUGUGCGGAACUACUCUCUACAAAAACUGUGUUGACUUUUGCUUGUUUAAUCAUCUUUAAUCAUGGAUCUGUUCAUUUUUUCUUUCAUUAUAUUCUCAUCCAAUUUUAUUUGCUUGAAAACCAGACUUUUUGGCUUGCAACACCCAGGAGCACUUUUCAAAAUUCAGCAUGACAUUUACCCCUUUCUAUUUGUCUGGCAGCAACACAGAUUUAAGCAAUAGAUUGCACACUGCAGUUAGCAGCUUGGCAAUCUGUUUUACAAUUUUGUCACAACCCACUGAUCCUGAAUUUUCUUUACUAUUUUCCGUUCUUUCUUGUGUCUGUAUUUAUCCACCUUUUCAAGGGAAGAAGUAUUUGGUUUCUCGGUUCCUAAAAGCCCUUUGUUCAUGGUGAAAGUGGUGAAACAUGAAGAAUGACCGUGAUGUCUCAGAGUUCAUAAAAACUUAUUUGUGUGAAGAGCUUUCCAGGAAAAAUUUGACUCACCUCUUCCAUUUAAUUUUGUUUUGAUCCACGUUGUAUGUAACCUUUCUAUCAGCCAUCAAAAGCAGCCAAAAGGGUUGUUCAAUAAACUAUGAAAGAUGUCAGAUUAUCAGUACCUUUAAUGUAGGAUUUUAUUUAAUGAAUAAAGACACACGAAUUUUCUACAGAAUCCCAAAUCUCAAAAUUUUCUAUUCCAUCAUGCUACUGCAAAGGUCACUCUUUGGCACAGAAUGUGCAUGCCUGAAAAAUCACUUACUCCUUGGUAUUACAGCCACUCUUUGGAAAGUUUGAAAUCGAUUGUAUUGUCAUACUGAUGACUUUGGAUUUGGUUUGUCUUUCAGGUGAACAUGAGGGUACAAGAUUCUACAAAACACUCUUUAAAAAAACACUGCUACGAAAAUUCAGUAGGGUUUGUAGGACAACUGUACAGAUUCUUUUUUUUUUUUCCUAGUAGAGACCCAUAAUAUGGUUGGACUUCAAGGGACAUGCAGAAGUGGUUUAGUUCAAUACCUCGCUCAAAUAAGGCCCAACGUGGGCC